CAGCAGCCACGGUAAUACGAAGGGGGCUAGCGUUGCUCGGAAUGACUGGGCGUAAAGGGCGCGUAGGCGGCUUGCACAGUCAGAUGUGAAAUUCCUGGGCUUAACCUGGGGGCUGCAUUUGAUACGUGUGGGCUAGAGUGUGAAAGAGGGUCGUGGAAUUCCCAGUGUAGAGGUGAAAUUCGUAGAUAUUGGGAAGAACACCGGUGGCGAAGGCGGCGACCUGGUUCAUGACUGACGCUGAGGCACGAAAGCGUGGGGAGCAAACAGGAUUAGAUACCCCUGUAGUCCCUGUCUCUUAUAC
rnacentral:rRNA from 1 species